ACUUUAUGAUUCGGGCAUUGAUAAUUUUGUCAUUGAACCUUUGCCACACUUCAUAUAAAGGCUCACUACUAAGUUGAUGAAAAUUUGUGAUUUUGUCUCUUAGAUG
rfam:Capsicum annuum cultivar Zunla-1 chromosome 3, whole genome shotgun sequence